AGUGAACGCUGGCGGUAGGCCUAACACAUGCAAGUCGAACGGCAGCACAGUAAGAGCUUGCUCUUACGGGUGGCGAGUGGCGGACGGGUGAGGAAUACAUCGGAAUCUACUUUUUCGUGGGGGAUAACGUAGGGAAACUUACGCUAAUACCGCAUACGACCUACGGGUGAAGGCAGGGGAUCUUCGGACCUUGCGCGAUUGAAUGAGCCGAUGUCGGAUUAGCUAGUUGGCGGGGGAAAGGCCCACCAAGGCGACGAUCCGUAGCUGGUCUGAGAGGAUGAUCAGCCACACUGGAACUGAGACACGGUCCAGACUCCUACGGGAGGCAGCAGUGGGGAAUAUUGGACAAUGGGCGCAAGCCUGAUCCAGCCAUACCGCGUGGGUGAAGAAGGCCUUCGGGUUGUAAAGCCCUUUUGUUGGGAAAGAAAAGCAGCAGGUUAAUACCCCGCUGUUCUGACGGUACCCAAAGAAUAAGCACCGGCUAACUUCGUG
rnacentral:rRNA from 1 species